rnacentral:rRNA from 1 species
AGUGAACGCUGGCGGUAGGCCUAACACAUGCAAGUCGAACGGCAGCACAGUAAGAGCUUGCUCUUACGGGUGGCGAGUGGCGGACGGGUGAGGAAUACAUCGGAAUCUACUUUUUCGUGGGGGAUAACGUAGGGAAACUUACGCUAAUACCGCAUACGACCUACGGGUGAAAGCAGGGGAUCUUCGGACCUCGCGCGAUUGAAUGAGCCGAUGUCUGAUUAGCUAGUUGGCGGGGUAAAGGCCCACCCAGGCGACGAUCCGUACCUGGUCUGAGAGGAUGAUCAGCCACACUGGAACUGAGACACGGUCCAGACUCCUGCGGGAGGCCGCAGUGGGGAAUAUUGGACAAUGGGCGCAAGCCUGAUACAGCCAUACCGCGUGGGUGAAGAAGGCCUUCGGGUUGUAAAGCCCUUUUGUUGGGAAAUAAAAGCAGCAGGUUAAUACCCCGCUGUUCUGACGGUACCCAAAGAAUAAGCACCGGCUAACUUCGUG